AAAUUGAAGAGUUUGAUCAUGGCUCAGAUUGAACGCUGGCGGCAGGCCUAACACAUGCAAGUCGAACGGUAGCACAGAGAGCUUGCUCUCGGGUGACGAGUGGCGGACGGGUGAGUAAUGUCUGGGAAACUGCCUGAUGGAGGGGGAUAACUACUGGAAACGGUGGCUAAUACCGCAUAACGUCGCAAGACCAAAGAGGGGGACCUUCGGGCCUCUUGCCAUCAGAUGUGCCCAGAUGGGAUUAGCUUGUUGGUGAGGUAACGGCUCACCAAGGCGACGAUCCCUAGCUGGUCUGAGAGGAUGACCAGCCACACUGGAACUGAGACACGGUCCAGACUCCUACGGGAGGCAGCAGUGGGGAAUAUUGCACAAUGGGCGCAAGCCUGAUGCAGCCAUGCCGCGUGUAUGAAGAAGGCCUUCGGGUUGUAAAGUACUUUCAGCGGGGAGGAAGGUGUUGUGGUUAAUAACCGCAGCAAUUGACGUUACCCGCAGAAGAAGCACCGGCUAACUCCGUGCCAGCAGCCGCGGUAAUACGGAGGGUGCAAGCGUUAAUCGGAAUUACUGGGCGUAAAGCGCACGCAGGCGGUCUGUCAAGUCGGAUGUGAAAUCCCCGGGCUCAACCUGGGAACUGCAUUCGAAACUGGCAGGCUUGAGUCUUGUAGAGGGGGGUAGAAUUCCAGGUGUAGCGGUGAAAUGCGUAGAGAUCUGGAGGAAUACCGGUGGCGAAGGCGGCCCCCUGGACAAAGACUGACGCUCAGGUGCGAAAGCGUGGGGAGCAAACAGGAUUAGAUACCCUGGUAGUCCACGCCGUAAACGAUGUCUACUUGGAGGUUGUGCCCUUGAGGCGUGGCUUCCGGAGCUAACGCGUUAAGUAGACCGCCUGGGGAGUACGGCCGCAAGGUUAAAACUCAAAUGAAUUGACGGGGGCCCGCACAAGCGGUGGAGCAUGUGGUUUAAUUCGAUGCAACGCGAAGAACCUUACCUGGUCUUGACAUCCACAGAACUUUCCAGAGAUGGAUUGGUGCCUUCGGGAACUGUGAGACAGGUGCUGCAUGGCUGUCGUCAGCUCGUGUUGUGAAAUGUUGGGUUAAGUCCCGCAACGAGCGCAACCCUUAUCCUUUGUUGCCAGCGAUUAGG
rnacentral:rRNA from 1 species